AAGGCCUCAGAUCAGACGUGGCGACCCGCUGAAUUUAAGCAUAUUACUAAGCGGAGGAAAAGAAACUAAACCAGGAUGCCCUCAGCAACGGCCAGUGAAGAGGGAAGAGCCCAGUGCCAAAUCCCUGUUCAGCGGCAGGUGUGGGAAAUGUGGCAUACAGAAGACCGACUCCCGGCAUCGCUCUGGGGGCUCAAGUCCUUCUAAUCAAGUCACACAAUGCGGACGGUGUCAGGUCGGUAGCGGCCUCUGGUACGCCAGGAUCAGGUCUUCUUGGAGUCAGGUUGCUUGGGAAUGCAGCGCAAAGCAUGUGGUAAACUCAAUGUAAAGCUAAAUACGGGCGCGAGACCGAUGGCCAACAAGUACCGUAGGGAAAGUUGAAAAGAACUUUGAAGAGAGAGUUCAAGAGGGUGUGAAAGAACUUUGAAGAGAGAGUUCAAGAGGGCGUGAAACUGUCGAGAGGUAAACUGGUUCAGGUCCGUGCAGUCUGUCCGUAGGAUUCAAUACGGCGGGCAGGUUUGUCGCCUGGAUGGUGGAUGCUGUCGGAGGACUGCGGCCUGGUCACACUCGUCCCCCGCAGGGCGUAUUUCCUCUGUGGCGGUGCACCGCGACCGGCUAAGAAGGCCCCAGGGGGCAGAUGGCUCUCCGCUCUGGCAGAGUGUGUUACAGCCCCCUGACAGCAGUUUUGCUGUGUCCACAGGGCCUGAGGGAGCUUGACCGCUGCUGUGCCCUUCUCCGGCAACUGUCCUGGCCCCUCUUGAGGGUAGCUGAGGCAGUGACGGGAGACAGGGCUCCCGAUGCGACUGUGGUGGUCUGCUUUCAGUGCCCCCGGCGACGUAGUGCGGCUGGGUGGGGUGGCCCAUAAAGGGUGCCAGGGGUCUGAGGUGAUGCCAGUUACCCACGCUGCCUGUCUUGAAACACGGACCAAGGAGUCUAACACGUGCAUGAGUAGGAGGACCGAAUGAAACCCUGUGGUGCAAUAAAGGUGAGGGCCGGCGCGUGCCAAUUGCAGUGGUUUCCCGUCGCAGUGGGCGCACCACCGACCAGUCUCGCCCGCUCUGUCAGGGAGACGGAGCGUGUGUGUGUGAUAGGACCGAAAAGAUGGUGAACUAGGCCUGGUGGAGGUCCGUAGCAUUCCUGAUGUGCAAAUCGGUCGUCUGACCUGGGUAUAGCGGCGAAAGACUAAUCGAACCGUCUAGUAGCUGGUUCCCUCCGAAGGUUCCCUCAGGAUAGCUGGCGCAUGCAAACCCCAGUUUUAUCUGGUAAAGCCGAUGAGGUCUUGGGGCCAAAAUGAUCUCAACCUAUUCUCAAACUUUAAAUGGGUAAGUAGCCCGGCUCGCUGGCGUGGAGCCGGGCAUUGAAUGCAAGUGCCCAGUGGGCAACUUUUGGUAAGCAGAAUUGACGCCAUGUGAUAAACCGAAUGCUGGGUUAAGGCACCCGAUGCCGACGCGCAUCGGACCCCAGAAAAGGUGUUGGUUGAUAUAGACAGCAGGACGGUGGGCCUGGAAGUCAGAAUCUGCUAAGGAGUGUGUAACAACUCACCUGCCGAAUCAUACUAGCCCUGAAAAUGGAUGGCGCUGGAGCGUCUGGCCCUUACCCGACCGGGGCUGAGAGCCGUGGGGGAUAAGCUGCGACAAGUAGGAGGACUGCUGCAGUGUGCACGGAAGCCAAGGGCGAGUACCCAGGUGGAGUCGCUGCAGGUGCAGGUCUUGGUGGUAGUAGCAACUAUUCAAACAACUUUGAAGGCCGAGGUGGAGAAGGGUUCCAUGUGAACAGAAGUUGAACAGGAGUCAGUCGGUCCUAAGAAAUGGCUGAACGCCGCUCGGAAGGGACAGGCGAUGUCCUCCGUUGCCCUCAGCCGAUCGAAAGGGAGUCGGGUGCAGAUCUCUGAACCUGGUGUGGCAGAGACAGGCGCCCUCACGGCCUCCAGUGCGAUAACGCAAACUAUCCCAGAGAAGCUGGUGGGAUCCCCAGGAAGAGUUCUGUUCUGUUUGUGAAGGGCUGGGCACCCUGGAAUGAGUUUGGCCCGAGCCUUGAAGGUGUUGCAGUUCCGGUGGCGUCCAGUGAGCUCUUGCUGGUCCUUGAAAAUCUGGGGGAGAUGGUGUUAAUCUGGUGCCGGGCCGUACCCAUAUCCGCAGCAGUUCUCCAAGGUGAACAGCCUCUGGCAUUUUGGAACAAUGUAGGUAAGGGAAGUUGGCAAAGUCGGAUCCGUAACUUCGGGAAGGGCUGGGUCGGUCAGGCUGGUGAUGCACAUCGGGACUGGCUGCGCACUACAGCUGGAUGAGGUCUCCUCCCAGGGGGCAGUGCCAACUCUGGAUUUCUGCCCAGUGCCCACAAUGUCAAAGUGAAGAAAUUCAAUGAAGCGCGGGUAAACGGCGAGAGUAACUAUGACUCUCUUAAGGUAGCCAAAUGCCUCAUCAUCUAAUUAGUGACGCUUGAAUGGAUGAACGAGAUUCCCACUGUCCCUACCUACUACCUAGCGAAACCACAGCCGAGGGAAUGGGCGUGGCAGAAUCAGCAGGGACUGAAGACCUUGUUGAGGCACACUCUUGUCUGGCACUGUCAAGAGGUUAUAAAUAAAGGUGUUUAACUGCAGUUAAAUCCCUGGUCCUUCAGGCAAAGAGUACAUUACAAAAAUAAAGUGUAAACCAUUGUCUCUAGAGGCUAGAGACACCCGGGUGCUGUUCGAGUGUUUGUGACUCCGGUGGAUUUCACAGAAGUGACCCUGAUACACGGGAAUUAUUAAGAACAUGCACAUCCACACAAGCAAGGAACUGCUUUGGUGUCCACAAUUUGGAUAUAAAGGGGAGUUACUCAGCACACUGAUCACCACUUUUUGCGGGUCUACAAGAAUCUAUAGACGCCAGUGAAGGAUUUAAUCCUAAACAUCUAGCUUCAUACCCAGAUUGAUGGCAUGGGGAUUCAAAAAUGGCU
rnacentral:rRNA from 1 species